CUUCUUAAUAAGUGUCUAAUUUAUGAAGUAACAUAGAUGAUAUCUUUCAUAGCACCGAAGAGCUGUCAGAGUGGCUGUAUGACAAUAACAUUACAAUAUUGUUCUACUUUGUGGUCUGUAAAUGAAUGGCAAAGACUUACUCUGCAUCUUUGUUUUCAAAAUAGUAUUGAAAUGGCUGAUGGCAAGUGCAGGAAGAUCCUUUUCUACAGCAGUUACAGAACAACUUCAGCUUCUACCUUUGUUUUUCAAGAUUGCCCCAGUGGAAAAUGACAAUAGCUACGAUGAACUGAAAAGAGAUGCAAAGUUAUGUUUAUCAUUAAUGUCUCAGGGGUUGCUUUACCCUCAUCAAGUGCCUUUGGUACUUCAGGUGCUAAAACAAGUAAGAGUGUUUAUAAUAUUUAUGUCUUUUGAUUAGGAUUUUGGUUUACCAUUCUAAGAAUUUCAGUCAGCUGCAGUGCACACAGCGCCUAGUUUUUGUUUUGAAUUUUCUUUUAGUAUAAGAGAAGACAUAUAUAUUGACCAAAGAAACAGACCUAGAUUCUGUGCCUGGCUCUGCCCCUGCCUUCUGUGACUUUGGGCAAGUCAGUCAAGCC
rnacentral:lncRNA from 1 species